UACGACCAUAUCACGGAGAAACUCCGGUUUUUGUCCGAUCACCGAAAUUAAGCAAUGUCUAGACUGGUCAGUACUUGGAUGGGUGACCUCUUGGGAAUACCAUGUGUUGUAA